rnacentral:rRNA from 1 species
GGUUACUGCUAUCGAGGUUCAACUAAGCCAUGCGAGUCGAAUGUAGCAAUACAUGGCGAACUGCUCAGUAACACGUGGACAACCUGCCCUUAGGUUGGGUAUAAACCCGGGAAACUGGGUAUAAUACCCGAUAGGUCUCGAUUGCUGGAAUGCAUCGAGAUUUAAAGCUCCGGCGCCUAAGGAUGGGUCUGCGGCCUAUCAGGUAGUAGUGGGUGUAGCGUACCUACUAGCCUACGACGGGUACGGGUUGUGAGAGCAAGAGCCCGGAGAUGGAUUCUGAGACACGAAUCCAGGCCCUACGGGGUGCAGCAGGCGCGAAAACUUUACAAUGCUGGCAACAGCGAUAAGGGAACCUCGAGUGCCAGGUUACAAAUCUGGCUGUCGAGAUGCCUAAAAAGCAUUUCAUAGCAAGGGCCGGGCAAGACCGGUGCCAGCCGCCGCGGUAACACCGGCGGCUCGAGUGGUAACCGUUAUUAUUGGGUCUAAAGGGUCUGUAGCCGGCCGGAUAAGUCUCUUGAGAAAUCUGGCAGCUUAACUGUCAGGCUUUCAGGAGAUACUGUCUGGCUCGAGGCCGGGAGAGGUGAGAGGUACUUCAGGGGUAGGGGUGAAAUCUUGUAAUCCUUGAAGGACCACCAGUGGCGAAGGCGUCUCACCAGAACGGACCUGACGGCAAGGGACGAAAGCUAGGGGCACGAACCGGAUUAGAUACCCGGGUAGUC